AAUGAACGCUGGCGGCAUGCCUAACACAUGCAAGUCGAACGAUCCUACCGGGAGUUUUCUCCCCUGACGUUGGCGGCGGACGGAUGAUUCACACGUGGAUAGCCUACCUAUUAGACUUGGCUGAUUACGCGGGAUCACUGCUUAUACCCCAUAAUAUAUCGAACCGGAUUGAUCAAUCGUAAAAGUAGCUUUUGCUGUUGGUAAUAGAUGACUCCGGCUCGCAUUAUUUAGUUGGUAAAGUCACGGCUUAGCAACGCUACGAUGCGUAGCCGACCUGAGAGGGUGGUCGGCCACACUGGAACUGAGACACGGUCCAGACUCCUACGGGAGGCAGCAGUAGGGAAUCUUACGCAAUGGGCGAAAGCCUGAUGGAGCAACACCGCGUGAGUGAUGAAGGACUUCGGAUCGUAAAACUCUGUUGUUAGGAAAGAAGAAAAGUGUAAGUAACCAUGCACGUAUUGACGGUACCUAAAGAAAAAGCCCCGGCUAACUACGUG
rnacentral:rRNA from 1 species